CCCUUAGAUGUUCGGGGCCGCACGCGCGCUACACUGAAGGAAUCAGCACGUCUUUCUCCUUGUCCGAAAGGACUGGGUAACCCGCUGAACCUCCUUCGUGCUAGGGAUUGGGGCUUGUAAUUCUUCCCCAUGAACGAGGAAUUCCCAGUAAGCGCGAGUCAUAAGCUCGCGUUGAUUACGUCCCCGCCCUUUGUACACACCGCCCGUCGCUACUACCGAUUGGAUGGUUUAGUGAGAUCCUCGGAUUGGUCCCGGAGCGGCCUCUGGUCGUGCCGGAGUGCCGAAAAGAAUGUCGAACUUGAUCAUCUAGAGGAAGUAAAAGUCGUAACA
rnacentral:rRNA from 1 species